rnacentral:rRNA from 1 species
CCAGACUCCUACGGGAGGCAGCAGUGGGGGAUAUUGCACAAUGGGGGGAACCCUGAUGCAGCGACGCCGCGUGGGUGAAGGAGCGUUUCGGCGCGUAAAGCCCUAUCGGCAGGGAAGAAGGAGGACGGUACCUGACUAAGAAGCCCCGGCUAACUACGUGCCAGCAGCCGCGGUAAUACGUAGGGGGCAAGCGUUAUCCGGAUUUACUGGGUGUAAAGGGAGCGUAGACGGUUAUGUAAGUCUGGAGUGAAAGCCCGGGGCCCAACCCCGGGACUGCUUUGGAAACUGUGUAACUGGAGUACAGGAGGGGCAGGCGGAAUUCCUGGUGUAGCGGUGAAAUGCGUAGAUAUCAGGAGGAACACCGGCGGCGAAGGCGGCCUGCUGGACUGAAACUGACGUUGAGGCUCGAAAGCGUGGGGAGCAAACAGGAUUAGAUACCCCCGUAG